rnacentral:lncRNA from 1 species
AAAAUAUUGAUUCUUCCCGGGCAUAAGUUUAUUUUAAGAUUUCCGUGUUUGUUCAUUAUGCUAAAUUAAUAUAAUUGAUCUGCAUUUGGGGGUUGGGGGUAAAAGGGGUCCGGAUCUCGAAAUCCCGGGCUUAAAAACACGAAGUCACAAGGUCCCGAAUUUAAAUAAAUUUAAAUCCUGACAUCGCGAAAAAAGAAUUCCCAGAUCCUGAAAGGGUUAAUCCCGAAAUCCCGAACUUAUUUGCAUAAUAUUAAUUUACGCACAAUCCAUGUAACAAAGGAAACUUGUAUGUUAUAUUUUUUAUAGCAAUCUAAAAGAAAAAAUUGCCGUGAAAAGACAAU